UUAUCCUAAAAUUUUCUAUCCUGAAAGCACCAGAUCCUAUCUGAUCUUGGAAACUAAGCAGGGUCAAGUCGGAUUAGUACUUGGAUGGAGGACCACUAAGAAAUAUCACUAUCAGUGGAAGGC
rfam:Anolis carolinensis chromosome 2, whole genome shotgun sequence.